rnacentral:rRNA from 1 species
UACGGAGGGUGCAAGCGUUAAUCGGAAUUACUGGGCGUAAAGGGUGCGUAGGCGGUUAGGUAAGUUAUCUGUGAAAUCCCUGGGCUUAACCUGGGUAGGAAAGAUAAUACUGCAUAACUAGAGUGUGGUAGAGGAUAGUGGAAUUUCCGGUGUAGCGGUGAAAUGCGUAGAGAUCGGAAGGAACACCAGUGGCGAAGGCGGCUAUCUGGACCAACACUGACGCUGAGGCACGAAAGCGUGGGGAGCAAACAGG